rnacentral:rRNA from 1 species
GUCUACGGCCAUACCACCCUGAACGCGCCCGAUCUCGUCUGAUCUCGGAAGCUAAGCAGGGUCAGGCCUGGUUAGUACUUGGAUGAGAGAACAACACCUGGCAGAAAGAAU